rnacentral:rRNA from 1 species
UUCUGGUUGAUCCUGCCAGUAGUUAUAUGAUUGUCUCAAAGAUUAAGCCAUGCAUGUCUAAGUACACACGAAUUAAAAGUGAAACCGCAAAAGGCUCAUUAUAUCAGUUAUUGUUCCUUAGAUCGUUAACAGUUAAUUGGAUAACUGUGGUAGUUCUAGAGCUAACACAUGUAAUUAAAAGUAUCUAGGACUACCAUGGUUGCAACGGGUAACGGGGAAUCAGGGUUCGAUUCCGUAGAGGGAGCCUGAGAAACGGCUACCACGUCUAAGGAAGGCAGCAGGCGCGUAAAUUACCCACUCCCAGCUCGGGUAGGUAGUGACGAAAAAUAACAAUACAGGACUCAUAUCCGAGGACCUGUAAUUGGAAUGAGUACACUUUAAAUCCUUUAACAAGGACCAAUUGGAGGGCAAGUCUGGUGCCAGCAGUCGCGGUAAUUCCAGCUCCAAUAGCGUAUAUUAAACGUUCGUAGUUGAGCUUGUGCUUCAUACGGGUAGUACAACUUACAAUUGUGGUUAGUACUAUACCUUUAUGUAUUUAAUCGUAUUACCGGUGGAGUUCUUUUAUGUGAUAAAAUACUUGUAUUUUUUCAUAUGUUCCUCCUAUUUAAAAACCUGCAUUAGUGCUCUUAAACGAGUGUUAUUGUGGGCCGGUACUAUUACUUUGAACAAAUUAGAGUGAAAUAAGACCUCUGUUCUGCUUUCAUUGGUUUUCAGAUCAAGAAAUUAAUAGAAGCAGUUUGGGGGUAUUAGUAUUACUGAAAUUCUUGGACCGUUGUAAGACUAACUUAAGCGAAAGCAUUUGCCAAAGAUGUUUUCAUUAAUCAAGAACGAAAGUUGCAAAUGGUUGCAAAGCUGAAACUUAAAGGAAUUGACGGAAGGGCACCACCAGUAAUGGAGCCUGCGGCUUAAUUUGACUCAACACGGGAAAACUUACCAGGUCCGAACAUAAGUGUGUAAGACAGAUUGAUAGCUCUUUCUCGAAUCUAUGGGUGGUGGUGCAUGGCCGUUCUUAGUUCGUGGAGUGAUUUGUCUGGUUAAUUCCAAUAACGAACGAGACUCAAAUAUAUUAAAUAGAUAUCUUCAGGAUUAUGGUGCUGAAGCUUAUAUAGUCUUCAUUCAUGGUGGCAGUAAAAUGUUUAUUGUGUUUGAAUGUGUUUAUGUAAGUGGAGCCGUCCCUGUUGGUUUGUCCCAUUAUACGGACACUAGCUUCUUAAAUGGACAAAUUGCGUCUAGCAAUAAUGAGAUUGAGCAAUAACAGGGGUGUGAUGCCCUUAGAUGCCCUUGGCUGCACGCGCGCUACAAUGAAAUUAUCAACGUGUAUUUCCUAGACCGAGAGGUCCGGGUAAACCGCACGUCUCCGGACGUGAUCACGCCUUGCGUGUUACGGUUGUUUCGCAACAGUUGACCGAACUUAAUUAUUUAGAGGAAGUAAAAGUCGUAAAAAGGUUUCCAUAGGUGAACCUACGGAAGGAUCAUUA